GCUGGCGUAGCUCAGCCGGCAGAGCGGCGCACUCGUAAUGCGCAGGUCGCGGGUUCGAUUCCCGCCGCCAGCUCCA
rnacentral:tRNA from 1 species